GGCUUGAUAGUAUAGUGGUUAUUACGUCGCUAUCACAAAGCGAAGAUCGCGAGUUCGAACCUCGCUCAGGUCA
rnacentral:tRNA from 1 species